rnacentral:lncRNA from 1 species
GGAAAAUCCCAUGGACAGAGAAGCCUGGCAGGCUACAGUCCAUAGGAUCAUAAAGAGUCAGACACGAAUGAGCGACUAAACACGCACACACGACCAACUUCCAUUCCAGAGAAUGGAAUGGAAGAUUUUAGGUAGAGUUCAUUAUUCUCUUGUGUCCCUUGGCUAGUGAGAUAACAAAACUGCUAUUCAUGUUGGCCACUUGUUUACCUAUAGAGAAAAGGGCACAUCUUAGGUAAACAGAAACCUCUACUCAAAAACAAAGGAAAAAAAUUUUGACUCAUCACUUUGAGUAGAGUCUUACAAUGGCCAACUUUUAAUAUGUAUGACUCAAAAAGAGCAAAUACAUGUUUCAGAAGAAGAAUGAGACAUCCUCCAGUCCUUUGGCAGGUCUUGGUCACAAAUAUAUAUGAAUUAUAUUCCUACUUUAUAUGCAAAGUGUUCAAUGGAUGGUCAUCUGAAUCUCCACCUCUCUUUCUCUCAUUUUCUUUUAAAAUAGAAAGAACUUUUGUUACUUCAAAUGAAAAGACACUUAUGGCAACUGGGAGAAGGAAGCUGGACAGUGUGACAGUAGUUAUAGACUAUUACCACCACUCCAUGCAAAUGUGGACAUAAUUGAGGAACUCGCCUCAGGGUGCAGUUGGAAGACUUCUAUUAAGCAAGAAUUGUCACAGGAAGAAUUUUCCAGGCAAGAGUACUGGAGUGGAUUUCCAUUUCCUUCUCCAAGGAAUCUUCCUGACCCAGCGAUCAAACCUGUGUCUCCUGUCUGGCAGACAAAAUUCUUUACCAUUGAGCCACCUGGGAAGCCCUAAAACCAAAGAUGGUCAUUUCUAUUCAUGUUAUUCACUAACAUUUCCCAAGCAACUAGAAGAAAGCUUGCAAUAUAGAAGAUACUUUAAAAAUAUCUGUUAAAUGGAUGAAUGAUGGGAUGAAAAUAUCUAUUAAAUGGAUAAAUGAGGUCUCUUUGCAUAUAUUUUCAAGUAAUCAUCAUUAAAUUGAUGUUUUUGCUUUCCAACAAAUCAGAUGGACUUCAGGUCCUUCAAAAACUGUUUCCAACUCCAACCACAUUACUUGUUUCACAAUAAAUGGUCAACAGUUGCAACUGAUCUACGAAGU